GAUGAACGCUAGCGAUAGGCUUAGCACAUGCAAGUCGAGGGGCAGCACAUGAGUGGCAACACGAUGGUGGCGACCGGCGCACGGGUGAGUAACACGUAUGCAACCUGCCCGCAACUGGGGGAUAACCCGUCGAAAGGCGGACUAAUACCGCAUGACAAUGAACUGCUGCAUGGUGGUUCAUUUAAAGAUUUAUCGGUUGCGGAUGGGCAUGCGUUCCAUUAGGUAGUUGGCAGGGUAACGGCCUACCAAGCCUACGAUGGAUAGGGGUUCUGAGAGGAAGGUCCCCCACACUGGUACUGAGCCACGGACCAGACUCCUACGGGAGGCAGCAGUGAGGAAUAUUGGUCAAUGGGCGAGAGCCUGGACCAGCCAAAUCGCGUGGAGGAAGACGGUAUUAUGUAUUGUAAACUCCUUUUGUCGGGGAAUAAAGUGCGGGACGUGUCCCGUUUUGUAUGUACCCGAAGAAUAAGGAUCGGCUAACUCCGUGCCAGCAGCCGCAGUAACAC
rnacentral:rRNA from 1 species